UACUAGAGUAGCACUCGCAUAUCAAUAAGCGGAGGAAAAGAAACUAACAAGGAUUCCCCUAGUAACGGCGAGUGAAGCGGGAAGAGCUCAAAUUUGAAAUCUUAAAGGGUUUCCCUUUACGAAUUGUAGUUUAAAGAAGUGUUUUCUGUUGAGGUUUUGGUAAAAGUUCUUUGGAAUAGGACAUCAUAGAGGGUGAGAAUCCCGUAUUUGACCUUUACUUUCAACUUUGUGAUACACUUUCAAAGAGUCGGAUUGUUUGGGAAUGCAGUCCAAAAUGAGUGGUAAAUUUCAUCUAAAGCUAAAUAUUGGCGAGAGACCGAUAGCGAACAAGUACCGUGAGGGAAAGAUGAAAAGAACUUUGAAAAGAGAGUUAAACAGUACGUGAAAUUGUCAAAAGGGAAGCGUUUGACACCAGUGUUGUUUUUCUGAAAAUCAAUUAAAGAACUGUUUAUGCUAAGCUGUUUAGACUUUAUCAGCUAUCUGUUUAGUUUUGAGCUUUUCUUUAAUGCACUUUUCAGUUAACAAGUCAACAUCAAUUUCUUUUGCUGUAAAAAAGCUUGAGGAAGGUGGCUUGAGAUUCGUCUUAAGUGUUUAUAGCCUCUUGCCUAUGCAGUCGGAGAGAUUGAGGUCUGCAGCGUAGAUCCUUCGGGGCUAAAUGCAUUUGUGCUAAGUUAUAGCAUUUUAUAGACAACUUGUUGACUAUGAUUUGUCUUGUAGCUUACUCGCUUAUGUUAUUUUACCUACGCUUAGGAUGUUGAGCGCAUGUCUCUCUCU
rnacentral:rRNA from 1 species